rnacentral:rRNA from 1 species
CUUGACAUGUAUGGAAUCCUGCUGAGAGGUGGGAGUGCCCGAAAGGGAGCCAUAACACAGGUGCUGCAUGGCUGUCGUCAGCUCGUGUCGUGAGAUGUUGGGUUAAGUCCCGCAACGAGCGCAACCCUUGUCCCUAGUUGCUACGCAAGAGCACUCCAGGGAGACUGCCGGUGACAAACCGGAGGAAGGUGGGGAUGACGUCAAGUCCUCAUGGCUCUUAUGGGUAG